GGUUAAGCGACUAAGCGUACACGGUGGAUGCCCUGGCAGUCAGAGGCGAUGAAGGACGUGCUAAUCUGCGAAAAGCGUCGGUAAGGUGAUAUGAACCGUUAUAACCGGCGAUGUCCGAAUGGGGAAACCCAGUGCAAUUCGUUGCACUAUCGUUAACUGAAUACAUAGGUUAACGAGGCGAACCGGGGGAACUGAAACAUCUAAGUACCCCGAGGAAAAGAAAUCAACCGAGAUUCCCCCAGUAGCGGCGAGCGAACGGGGAGCAGCCCAGAGUCUGAAUCAGCUUGUGUGUUAGUGGAACGGUCUGGAAAGUCCGACGGUACAGGGUGAUAGUCCCGUACACCAAAAUGCACAGGUUGUGAACUCGAAGAGUAGGGCGGGACACGUGGUAUCCUGUCUGAAUAUGGGGGACCAUCCUCCAAGGCUAAAUACUCCUGACUGACCGAUAGUGAACCAGUACCGUGAGGGAAAGGCGAAAAGAACCCCGGCGAGGGGAGUGAAAAAGAACCUGAAACCGUGUACGUACAAGCAGUGGGAGCACCUUCGGGUGUGACUGCGUACCUUUUGUAUAAUGGGUCAGCGACUUAUAUUCUGUAGCAAGGUUAACCGUAUAGGGGAGCCGCAGGGAAACCGAGUCUUAACUGGGCGUUAAGUUGCAGGGUAUAGACCCGAAACCCGGUGAUCUAGCCAUGGGCAGGUUGAAGGUUGGGUAACACUAACUGGAGGACCGAACCGACUAAUGUUGAAAAAUUAGCGGAUGACUUGUGGCUGGGGGUGAAAGGCCAAUCAAACCGGGAGAUAGCUGGUUCUCCCCGAAAGCUAUUUAGGUAGCGCCUCGUGAACUCAUCUUCGGGGGUAGAGCACUGUUUCGGCUAGGGGGUCAUCCCGACUUACCAACCCGAUGCAAACUACGAAUACCGAAGAAUGUUAUCACGGGAGACACACGGCGGGUGCUAACGUCCGUCGUGAAGAGGGAAACAACCCAGACCGCCAGCUAAGGUCCCAAAGUCAUGGUUAAGUGGGAAACGAUGUGGGAAGGCACAGACAGCCAGGAUGUUGGCUUAGAAGCAGCCAUCAUUUAAAGAAAGCGUAAUAGCUCACUGGUCGAGUCGGCCUGCGCGGAAGAUGUAACGGGGCUAAACCAUGCACCGAAGCUGCGGCAGCGACACUAUGUGUUGUUGGGUAGGGGAGCGUUCUGUAAGCCUGCGAAGGUGACCUGUGAGGGUUGCUGGAGGUAUCAGAAGUGCGAAUGCUGACAUAAGUAACGAUAAAGCGGGUGAAAAGCCCGCUCGCCGGAAGACCAAGGGUUCCUGUCCAACGUUAAUCGGGGCAGGGUGAGUCGACCCCUAAGGCGAGGCCGAAAGGCGUAGUCGAUGGGAAACAGGUUAAUAUUCCUGUACUUGGUGUUACUGCGAAGGGGGGACGGAGAAGGCUAUGUUAGCCGGGCGACGGUUGUCCCGGUUUAAGCAUGUAGGCUGGUUGUCCAGGCAAAUCCGGAUAAUCAAGGCUGAGGUGUGAUGACGAGGCACUACGGUGCUGAAGUAACAAAUGCCCUGCUUCCAGGAAAAGCCUCUAAGCAUCAGGUAGCAUCAAAUCGUACCCCAAACCGACACAGGUGGUCAGGUAGAGAAUACCAAGGCGCUUGAGAGAACUCGGGUGAAGGAACUAGGCAAAAUGGUGCCGUAACUUCGGGAGAAGGCACGCUGGUGUGUAGGUGAAGUCCCUGCGGAUGGAGCUGAGACCAGUCGAAGAUACCAGCUGGCUGCAACUGUUUAUUAAAAACACAGCACUGUGCAAACACGAAAGUGGACGUAUACGGUGUGACGCCUGCCCGGUGCCGGAAGGUUAAUUGAUGGGGUUAUCCGUAAGGAGAAGCUCUUGAUCGAAGCCCCGGUAAACGGCGGCCGUAACUAUAACGGUCCUAAGGUAGCGAAAUUCCUUGUCGGGUAAGUUCCGACCUGCACGAAUGGCGUAAUGAUGGCCAGGCUGUCUCCACCCGAGACUCAGUGAAAUUGAACUCGCUGUGAAGAUGCAGUGUACCCGCGGCAAGACGGAAAGACCCCGUGAACCUUUACUAUAGCUUGACACUGAACAUUGAGCCUUGAUGUGUAGGAUAGGUGGGAGGCUUUGAAGCGUGGACGCCAGUCUGCGUGGAGCCAACCUUGAAAUACCACCCUUUAAUGUUUGAUGUUCUAACGUUGGCCCCUUACCGGGGUUGCGGACAGUGUCUGGUGGGUAGUUUGACUGGGGCGGUCUCCUCCCAAAGCGUAACGGAGGAGCACGAAGGUUAGCUAAUCCUGGUCGGACAUCAGGAGGUUAGUGCAAUGGCAUAAGCUAGCUUGACUGCGAGCGUGACGGCGCGAGCAGGUGCGAAAGCAGGUCAUAGUGAUCCGGUGGUUCUGAAUGGAAGGGCCAUCGCUCAACGGAUAAAAGGUACUCCGGGGAUAACAGGCUGAUACCGCCCAAGAGUUCAUAUCGACGGCGGUGUUUGGCACCUCGAUGUCGGCUCAUCACAUCCUGGGGCUGAAGUAGGUCCCAAGGGUAUGGCUGUUCGCCAUUUAAAGUGGUACGCGAGCUGGGUUUAGAACGUCGUGAGACAGUUCGGUCCCUAUCUGCCGUGGGCGCUGGAGAAUUGAGGGGGGCUGCUCCUAGUACGAGAGGACCGGAGUGGACGCAUCACUGGUGUUCGGGUUGUCAUGCCAAUGGCACUGCCCGGUAGCUAAAUGCGGAAGAGAUAAGUGCUGAAAGCAUCUAAGCACGAAACUUGCCCCGAGAUGAGUUCUCCCUGAGACUUUAAGUCUCCUGAAGGAACGUUAAAGACGAUGACGUUGAUAGGCCGGGUGUGUAAGCGCAGCGAUGCGUUGAGCUAACCGGUACUAAUGAACCGUGAGGCUUAACCUU
rnacentral:rRNA from 1 species